rnacentral:rRNA from 1 species
AUUGAGCUUGUAAUUUUAUUAUUUGGACGAGAAGACCCUAUUGAGCUUGUAAUUUUAUUAUUAUUAGUAUUAUUUAUUCUUAUUGGUAGUAUAUAAAUUUUAAUUGGGGUGAUUAAGGAAUAAGGUUUGUAGUUUUAGUAACUUCCUUAUUAAUAAUGAUUGUUAAAUAAAGUAACCAAUAUUAUUGCUUAUACUAU